rnacentral:rRNA from 1 species
UCUGGUGACUAUAGCAAGGAGGUCACACCUGUUCCCAUGCCGAACACAGAAGUUAAGCUCCUUAGCGUCGAUCCGCUAGAGUAGAACGUUGCCAGGC